rnacentral:rRNA from 1 species
AUUGAACGCUGGCGGCAGGCCUAACACAUGCAAGUAGAGCGGCGCGGCACACGGGUGAGUAAUGCCUAGGAUUCUGCCUGGUAGUGGGGGCUAUCGUCCGGAAAUGGGCGCUAGUACCGCAUACUAUCAGAUCAGUCUAGGUCGUAGUAGCUAGUCGGUGGGUUAAGGGCCUACAAAGGCGACGAUCCGUACCUGGUCUGAGAGGAUGAUCAGUCAAACUGGAACUGAGACAGGGCCCAAACUCCUACGGGAGGCAGCAGUGGGGAAUAUUGGAAAAUGGGCGAAAGCCUGACCCAGCAAUGCGGCGUGUGUGAAGAAGGUCUUCGGAUUGUAAAGCACUUUAAGUUGGGAGGCGUUACCAACAGAGUAAGGACCGGCUAACUUCGUGCCAGCAGCCGCGGUAAUUC